rnacentral:lncRNA from 1 species
AUUAUUUUAAUAAAUUUUGCCUUCUAAAGUAAAGAAAAAACUUAAUAAACUUCUUUUAAAAUGGAAAGUUAUGGAGGAUUUCAGGAUCCAUAAACUUCUUGUAUUGGCUGCCUAUGUUAAAUGUUAAGUGCCUGCUACUGGAUAGGCUUUUAAUAAUGUAGAGAGCUUGCCCUCAUUUCUCACGAGUUGUGUGCAGUGUUGCUCUUCAGCCUGUUCUACAUACUACAGGCUACAACAUCUCCUUGAAUCUUCUUGGCUCCCACGGGAAGAAAAUGGUAUUUUCUAAAGAUGGGCAGUAUAAAGUAGUUGUGACCAUGGACUUGAGACCUGGAAGAAGAUUACCCUACGGAGGCUCUGCCCCCUACCAGCCUGGUUAAGAAGGGAAGGAGGUUCAACUGGUCUCAGAGCCUGGUUUCUCGUCAGUAUAAAAUGAAGUCAGUUCUUUAUCAGCCUUACAUUCUUCGGCAGGCAAGACUGUCUUCAUUUUACACAGAUUGCCUCAUUAGAGCUAGUAUCUGGCAACUAUUCCGAAGCACUGUGUGUAAGUGCGACUGGUAAUUAGAACUUAAGUAUGAUUUGGCAGAGAUGGAAAUUUCUCUUGUAAGCUGAAUGUAGUGUCACACAUCUCUAAUCCCAAUAUUUAAAAGGCAGAGGCAGGAGGAUCGCUACAAGUUCCAGCACAGCUUGGUUUAUACAGCAAGGUUUAGGCCAACCAGGAUUAAUGCCCUGUCUCAAGCUGGGCAGGGGUGGCGCACGCCUUUAAUCCCGGAGGUGGGGGCAGGAGGAUUCUGAGUUCGAGGACAGCCUGGUCUACAGAGUGUGAGUUUCAGGACAGCCAGGGCUACACAAAGAAACCCUGUCUCAAAAACAAAGCAAAACAAAAAC